GCCACUCCAUGGACCUCAGGUGACGAUGGUCCUUUGAUUGCUUCUGUCCUCUGCCUGUGAUUUUUGUCUCUCGACUAAAAAGCUACAGCGUAGUUCAAAUUGUUGAAUACAGCUUUGCAAGCACUUGGGUGAACUUGCGUAGCCUUUAACACGCAGGAAGUCAGAUAAAAUCUAAUCUUCUCCACAUUAGGGUAAAACUGUGUCCCCGUCUGCUCUACAGAAGACAGCACAUUGCGUAGUAUAACCCAUCCUACAACUCCAAUGAUUAAAUGCAAUCAUCCAACUUGUUCAUACGUGACAGCAUCACAACAUGACCUCAUCCAGCACCCAGAGGUGCAAGAAAUGCAGGAAGCUGUGAUUCACAAUGGCUUUGGAUCUCUCCAUUAGUGCCUCAGGUAUCUCACCUUUCACAUGCAAUCUGGAUUUUGAGCCUACACCAUGUUCAUCAGUUGACAUGUCUCAUUCCAGUCUUGAUCUAGACUAGGGACACAUGAUUUAUGCUUUCGCUAGAUUCAAGCCUUCAAUAUCAUGUUUUUAUUUUUUUUUUAUAAGACUUUGCUUGCCUACACAUGCAUGUUUCUUUUUUCUGACCCACAUGCACUUUUCCAGUCCUCCCUCAGAUUAGUGUAUUAUUGUAACGCAAAUAAAUUAAAAGCAAGAUAGUGUCAUGAUGGCUCUAAUGGAGCUUUUCCAUGGCACUCUACUUUUUCUGAAUGGCAUGAGCAAAAUACCUAAUGAAAAGUCAACUUUGAAAAUGGUCUGGCUCAUUAAAGCAUGAUUUUGUGAUGAAAUUGUCCUGAGAGGUGGCUCAAGCUUGGCUGGAUUGGGCUGUAUCUUGAAGACCUGCAGUCCUUCAUGAGCAUCACAUGAGGAGGGAACACUCCCACUGUUUUCACUGACUUUACCUCCACUGGGUUAUCUGUUCACCUGUGAAUCUCAUUCAUGUCUUUUCUGUCCUCAUUCCCCUGAGGUGAAGCAUCAAAAAGCCCACCCAGAGCAUACAGAAUCUACACGUUCCCUCUGGAAACCAUGAUAUGGUACGGAGGCAAUUUUUUAAAAACAGUGUGUUUUCCUAGUGACCCUCACAUAGCCACCAAAUUGGCAGUUGUUUCAGAGGUGAUUGGCAUUCCUCUCAAAAAAGGAUUGCCAAAGUCAGCCAAAAUUCUAAGGAAAAAAAGAGAAGGGCCGUCAGGUAACCGAUCCAUUUUGGAGCUGACAUGUUGUGACCCGAGGCAUGCUUUUAUAUGAAAGACAAAGAAUCAGGUGCCUUCCUGAGUGAGGAGCAAUAUGAUGGUUUAACAUGGAAGGGUAAAAGAUGGGCAUGCAGAUGCUGCCUGCACGGAAAGCAUACCCAAGAAGAGGACUGAUCUCACUCAGCUGUAGUUGAAGGUUACAAGCAACUGGAUGAGUGAUACUGAGUUGUUGCUCCCUUUCCUGGCUGUAGCUUAUUUAUAAGAGGAGAAAGAAGGAAAACUCAUGGAAUAAUGAAGAUGAAUGUGAUAAAUAUACCUGAGCCUGUCUACUUGUUUUAGUGGUUAAUUCCACUGGAGGAAUCCUGCGGGGCUUUAAGCAAUUCUUAGUGAUGAAGAUUUAUGAAGCCCUUUUAAAAACUUCAUUAAAGGGUCAGAGAGAUUUAAGUGGCCUUGCAAGCUCUGCACUGAGCCAAGAGAUUCACUCAGCAGAAAUUCAGCCAAAGCAGCGCAGGGAGAGCUGCUGUGCGAGGACUGCCUUGUGCGCUGGGCUGGGGACAGCACUGGGAACCCAUGGGGUUAGGUGGCACAGAGUGCUGCCCAUGUCCCAUAUAGGGCUGCCACACCUGAGGUGGUCAAAGGAAGUGUUUAGCAAAAGGAGUUAUUAUGAAUAGGUGCAGGCUGGUGCAUGUUGGCAAGCAUGCCAAGUCUGCAUAUACGGUAUCACUGCUCCAAUGCCUCUCUUCGUUCAGCUUCCCUCCGUUUGUCUAAAACACAUUAAAAUGUUUUUGCAGUUUGGAUGAGAUGUGCAUUCCUCCUUCUGACAACAUCUGCCUGAAUCCCUUCAAACCAUGGCACAGAAUCUUUCCCUCCAUCCCGAUGCCCCCCAAGCAGUUGUUUAGGAGUGCAAUUAUUUAGAUAUAAAUAGCAGUGCUCAUUAAGCUGGCAAUCACUCCCAGCUAUGAACAUGUAAAUCAGGUUGUCUUGUUUGUGUUUUUGAGAGAGAGGAGGUGGCAGUGGUAGGCGGAAGGGGAAAGUUCCUGGAUAAUAUUGUUAUCACUCCUCGUCUUACCAAGAGCAGGGAGCAUUUCAUCUGUGCCCUGCAGAGCUUUUCCCAACUCCAUCCCAUCGCUGCUGACAUGGUGCAUCGUGUCAGGCAUGUGAGGGUGGUCUGUGGACUUACAAAUAGGGUCAACUCACAAAAAACUGCACUCUUUUGUAGAUGUGCUACAGAACAAGCUCUGGUAGGAAACAGACCUUGCUCACCUUGAUGGAGAGAGAGAUGGAGGCUGUUCUGGCAGAGCUGCAGCUUGAGCCACUGUUCCAUUUUCUUGCUGAAGAUGUUUGGCAUCAUGAUGGAGCAGAUGUCGUGAGCUGUUACACAGCCCUGUAUAAACCAAAGUAUCAAUUUUCCUAUGGAAGAUGUGUUUCAGCUUGACUGCUCUCCUGUAGCAAACACCUUCACUAGGAGGCUUGUAGUGCAUUGUGUGUUGUGUGGUAUGUUAGAUGAAGGAUGAGAAGCGUUACACAGCCCUGGUGCCUAAGGAUGAAGGAAGGAGGGUAAAAAGACAAAGAUAAUAGAGGAUGGAGAAAUGGAGAAACCUGAGAAAACUGCAGUAGGAGAACCAUUGGACAAAGUCAUCCGAGACCCAGUUCCCUCAUGACCCAUCCCUGGCAGCACCAGCAGCACACAGAGAAGCCUACUGAAAAAGGGGGUAUGAAGUGAUGCCUAUACUGUAUGUGUUUAAUCCUAUCCCCAGCCUCUUAAAUACCUUCAACUCGAAAUGUCUUCAACAAGUGUGGAAGGGAGCUCCCGAGUUUUAGCAGUGCAUUAUUGGAAGGAGAAUCUCAUAAAGGAGUCAGUCCUCUCCAUUUCAGGAGAGCUUGUUCAGACUAGCUGUCAUUAAGGAAUGCACUUUUUACACUUGUGAAGCGAAGCGUCACCUUUGCACUAACUGAAAGGGAUAGAGGGAACUAAACUCUUUCAAACAGUUGCUCCACAAUUGGGUUCCUUGGAGGACUGGCUCUAGACCAGGGCGUCCUCCAGUAAGAGUCUAAUUUAUGACUGAUGGUACAGGAAAUGCCCAGGCAACCAUCUGGCACUAUGUUAGCAUCUGCUGGAAGCGCAGCAUUGGCCAUAGAGUCUCCACAGCAAUCCAUAAUAACACUUUCCAAACAGUUGUUCUGUAACAGUUUGCAGCCCAAAAGGCCAACGGUGUCCUGUGCUGCAUCAAAAGAGAGGUGGCCAGCAGGGAGAGGGAGGGGAUUGUCCCUCUCUCUUCUGCCCUUUAAGACCCCAUCUGGAGUACUGUGUCCAGGGCUGGGGCCUCCAACACAGGAAGGAUGUGGAGCUAUUGAAUUGGGUCCAGAAGAAGGCCACAAAGAUGAUCAGAGGGCUGGAGCACCUCUCCUAUGAAGAAACGUUGAGGGAGUUAGCUUGGAGAAGAGAAGGCUCCGUCAGAUCGAAUUGCAGCUUUCCAGUACUUGGAGGGAUCUUAUGAACAGGAGAGGGACUGACUUUUUACAGUCUGUUAGUGAUAGGAUAAGGGGGAAUGGCUUUAAAUUAAAAGAGAGGAGAUCUAGGUUAGAUGUUAGGAUGUUAGAGGUUAAUUCUUUACUCAGAGGGCGGUGAGGCGCUGGCACAGCUGCCCAGAGAAGCUGUGGUGCCCCAUCCCUGGAGGCGCUCAAGGCCAGGUUGGAUGGGGCCCUGGGCAGCUGAGCUGCUGGGUGGCAGCCCUGCCCACGGCACGGGGUGGGACUGGGUGGACUUUAAGGUCCCUUCCAACGCAAACCGUUCUGUGGUUCUAUGAUAAACCAUUCACUAUUAAUAAAUAAUGUAAGGAAGUUUAGCCACUGUUAACUACAUCUUGCAGCCUUUCUUAGAGGAGCAAAGGGCCUUACCUUACUAUCUUCAUUUGAAUACAAUAAUUUCUGGAGCACAUCUGAUUGCUGCAUUCUGGAAGCUAGCAAGAAAGGAUGGAGGCAUCCUCUUGUAUGCAGGAGUGUGCAGAGAUUUGCUAAUGAACCGGUUACCACUCGCAGGAAGGAGAAGGCUCCCUCAUGACAGUGAGUCAUGAGAUCACAGCAUUGACAAGGAGAACUAAUAGAGAAGGGCCAAUUGCAUAAUAUUGCAAAGAGGUGUGAUUAAGUGUCUUCAUUGAUACAAGCUUUGCAUGAGCCCUAUGCUACAAAUAGCAACUUCAUGCAGGCCAUUCCAAUGACACACCAGAGAUAGGAAGAGCCAAGAUAAUGAUGUUUUGUGAUAGCAUUUUGGGAAACACAAGACCAGGAAUUUUUCCAGAGCGGGAAGCCCUUUUUUCUCACUGAAGACUUUGUUUUGAUUUAAAGCCCUGUUGAGUAGGCACCAUCGCUACAUUUUUAAGAUACCUUUUUUAUUGCUCCCUGGAUUGUAGGGCACAGGGAGAUUUUGUCAGUGGAACAAAGGCUCUUGUAAGGCGUAUGCGAGAAGAGCGGAACGAAUCUGCUCCAUGCCUCACAUAAACACAUGGUUUGCUUAUUUUAUCUAGCUGCCUCUACACCAGCAUCAGUGCUUUCCUGUUCCCAAUGGGGACACAGUGACAAUGGUGUCUCAAAGAGUGGCACACCUGAGGCUCCUGGCUGGCUGCUUGGCAGAUGCUGCAUGGCUCAACCAGGAGAGCAAAGCUGUCCUGGGGCUGGUGGGUGUAACAGGGCUGUGUCACUCCCAUAGGAAACUGCUGACCUGGGUGGCUCAGGGGGACAGAACCUGCAGGUUGUGAGAGCACCCAGAGGGUUAGCAACAGCUCCAGAAAAUACAUUCACAGUGAAGCGUACCUCGGUCCUUCAUUUGGAGCCAUACUCACAGCCUGCCAAAGUAGGAAACAUCUGAGGUGGCAGGAAUCCAUGAAUCAGUGGCCUAUUUGCCAUUGUUUUCUACUUUUUUUUAUUAUUAUUUUAUUUUCCAUUUUCCACAUGCAAAACAAUACAAGUUGUCAUAAAGUUAUUUAGAGCCCUGUGCUGGUCUCCAAUUAGCACUCCCAAAGCUUCUGCUUGCUUCAGGUUGCAGAGCGAAACAAAAGAUAAAGCGGAGCAGAAAUUUUCCAUGAGCCAGCAGGAGCCCGGCCAGCAUUUGAUUUUUUAAAUCUGGUUUCCUCGGCUAAUUUAGUCACGUAAAAUUAGCAGCCUCAAAAAGGAAAGUGUAAGUGCGUUCAGCCUGCUUUACCCCACAGUGGGUUAUGUUUCCCAGCAGUUCCCUCCAGCAAGGCCUGUACUUCUGCGAAGCACGGAAAUAUAUCUUUUUUCCUUCUCUUUGGUGAGGUUUUAGGAACAAGAGUGAAACAAUGUUUGUUGCACAAACCCUCUUCUUUGAGGCUUUGGUUGCUGUCAGGAUACCUGGGGGCUGCCACAUUCCCUUUCUGAGGAGGGGAAGGAGAACGUUGCCCUUUCCUUUCCCCGCCACGUGGUAAAAAGCCACAGGCAACCGCAAGGCUGUCCCUCUGCACCGCUGCCAUCAGAUUUCCCUGAGAGCUUUUCCUGUAGGAAAACCACCAGGAAGUGCCAUCAGUGCCAGACACAGGGGAAAAAAAGAGCUCCGAAAUCGCUCCCUGCAGAGCAACUCUGCGCUCCUGCCGAUGAGCUGUCGUCCAUGUCUGCCAGGGCACGGUGGAGUCUGAGGGGGAAUCGUUACAUUCCUCAAACAAAUGAUUCAUUGAAAAUCACCGUCUGGCUCCGGGAACAAUUCACUGUCAAUGUUUUGCCUCAAACUUAGUCAUGAAACCAACAGGAGGUUAAAAAGUCUCAACAACGAACCCCCUUCAGCAGUUAAAGCCCACCAAUAAACAGCAUCGAACGCUGGAAAGAAGCUUCAUUUCUAGAAAUGAUGCGAGCUGUGGAAAAUAUAAACUGUGUCUUCCCUGCAGACGCAGCCAAAACUAAUCAAAAUACUCCUAGCGACACAAAGGAAAUACCUCGAGCUGUGAUAAGGAUUAUGAAUGUGGUUCUUUUACGUCUCCGCUAGCUCAUAACAAUAUGAUGGACUGGUGGCACCGUUCUCGGCACUGAGAUUAAUAGCCAGGCAGGAGCUGAGAAGGAGAAAGUGCACUUUCAGUUUUCUUUCCGAUGGCUAAUUAGAAAGGCCAUAUCUGAGAGGAAACAUUGUGGAAAUGAGAGCUAUUUGGAUGUCCCUUCCCCCGUAUACUAUCACUCUGCUUUGUCAAGAAUGCUUUAUUAAUGCUAAUCUCAUCCCUGUGCUUUGACAGAAGUUACAGUUUCCUUCCUUUGCAACAGCUAAGUCUGAAUUCUAUUAUGGGUUUUGUUUUAUGGGAGCAUUAUUAUUUUACUAAAUUACCUCAUCUUCUGGGAACAAACCUAACCUUGAACUACAGAGCUAAAUGGCUUUUUAAUGAUGCAAGUCUGUUUGGAAAUUGUACUUUGAUGACUCUAAAUUUUCUUCCUUCUCCAUGUUUAGAAUGUGCAACAAACACAGAAAGUGACUCAUUUCUGCAGUCUUUCCUGAUUCCCUGUUUUAAUGCUGAGUUGCUGCAAUUAUUAGGGUUAAGAUGAGUGGCAACAAACAUUCUCUGCCCAGGGUGGUGGUGGAGUCACCGUCCCUGGAGGUGUUCAAGAACUGUGUGGAUGUGGCACUGAGGCACGUGGUUAGCAGGCAUGGAACCCAUCUUCAGGAACAUGGGAAAUCACACCAACACUGGUAUUUAAAUGCUUAAAUUCUAAAAUGACUUAAAUGUUACUCCAGAGUGUGCUCUGGCGUGGAGCCUUCUUGUGCUGCCAUGACGGUCAACGAAGGACAAUCUGUGAGAAACGAUGUUAAACUGCCACUGACCCAAAUGAGGAUGAUUGGAUCCAUGGCCAGAUCAAAUUACUGUGUUUUUAUAGAAUGCCUUAUGGCAUGAUGGAUCUCUCUGAUCCUGGAAAAAUUAGGUUGCACAGAGGCACUGUGCAAGGCUACUUGCUGAGAUCUGAUGUACAUUAGAGUAAUCGCGGUCUUGUUUCCUGUUUGAUUCCCUCCCAAAUGCCUGCAAGCCACUACAAACCCACACAAAAGAUUUCUUGACUUUAGAAAAAUGUAUGUCUCUGUUUAGGGUGUGUGCAGUUGGGGUACUUCUGAGGCUGCAUUGCCAAGAGGUCACCUUUGAGCUGAGCUGGGGGCAGUGUUUUUUGUUUGUGUCAGACUUGAGUGGGAAGAAAUAUAUGAAAACCAAAAAGAAAGAUGCUGCUUGCUAAUGGGAUAGCUGCACUGCAGUGACCUAUCUAUUAAGGAACACUGUCAAAGCUGGCAAGCUUCAUUCCACAUCUCCAUGCAGAAAAUACCUGUAUCUUCCUGCAACAGGAAGGGCGCUGCCUUGCUCCCCUUCCCCAUCAAUCGACCAGACCCACACGAACAGGCACAGCCCAUCUCGUGCUUCUUGGGGACACUCAGCAUCUCCCCACCUGCCACAUGUGUGCACACAGGUGUCCCUUGCCUGCUGCCUUGGGAAUAUGAUUCAGCAUUUCAUAUUUGGACAUUAGGGAACAAGUAGCAAUAAGGCUGAGCCCCCUGAAGGCCAACAAGGUCUUCUCAACCGCUGUCUCCGAAGGAGAAGGUCCCCUCUCUGGCACCAGAUGGAUGUGUGGCUUGGCACAGUGAGGAACUGAGUUUGCUGAAAGAAGUUGCAAUCGGUUGCAAUGAAUUGUUCCGAGGGCUACAGCCAGCCCUUGCUCACGUCAAGCUUACAGUUCUGCCCCUGCAGAGGGGCAGAAUUCCACUGCAGAGGAAUUAAAAGCAAGGUUGUCAUGAGCAUGUCACUUUUGGCACACCUUUCAUUCUACGUUCUGUGCUGUAGGAGACAGUCUCUAACAACAGUCUCAUAACUGGCACUAGGUAUUUCAUCUGUUGUGAGACAUCUGGAAUCUGCUACAUCUGUUCUGAAGAGAAGCCAGCAAUUCUGGUGUCUUGUUUGUUGCUCCUCAGAAGCUACAAAACUGCUUCCUAGGCUUUGCACUGAAGUUAACGAGGAGCCUCUUUCCCCAAGUACUACCAUCAGAUGACCCACUCUUCUAACAUCAUUCAUACAAAUUACUCCAUAUAAACUCUUCAUCAUUUUUGGCUGCCAUCCCUGUAAGAUCUUGUUCUCUCGCUGUAGCUUUUUAAACAGAAACCUCUGCACUUGUCACAGGGAAUGGUAGAUGGUUCCCAAACAGUCAAGUGUCCCUUGCCUUUUGUUCCCCAUUCCAACAGGAGUCCUGGGCUCCCAUGUGUUCUCUGUGAAAACUCAUGCUCUACAAAGCAGAAUGGCCAACUUUCUUCCCGGCAAACCUUCAUACAUCUUUGUCAAAAGAGAUAAGAGGUACAGGACAACACAAUGCCACAGACACCAGAAAGAUGAGGGAGGAGUCCUGGCAAAAGUUCAUUAACAGGAGAGCAGUGUUUCCCAGCUGCUCUCCUGUGCAGUGGGGAUGAUCGAGAUGUAGACUGGGUUACAAGGUGAUCUGGUGGUGGUGUCCCCCUGUACCCUGCCAGCCUGCUCAGCCCACUGUGCCAGUGCAGUCCACAUGUCUCUUCAGUGAGAGGUUAGAAACGGGGUCUAUCAUCACACAUUUAUGACAUUUCUUGGAAUUUCAGUUGACAGACAAGGUCCUGCUGUGCUACUAAACAGAACCAUUUCAUCUUUGUGUUGUGUUAAGCCUUGACUAGAUUUUUUUUUUUCAUUGAUAUUUUUUUCCAAAUGGGAAUGCAAGCAGCUGAAGCACAGUAAGAAAACAUGAAAAUAGAUUUCUAGGAAUGUAACCAAAAGGGCUUUAUCAGCAGGACAAGUUGCUUAUCAAAAACUAUUUUAGGAGCAUGAGGAAAUGAAACUUUGAAGAGAGAUUUCCAAAAGGGAAGAUUUACUGAGGAGCUGGGGGUUCAAAGCAGGAUGACAGCGUGGCUACCAGGAAACUCUCUCUGCACCUGUUUCUUCACCAGCUGCCUAACUGCACUCCCCCUCCUUUCUGCUGGCAGCUGAAUGACUGAGGUCUGCAUCCCCUUUUGUGCUAAUCCACUCCACCGCCUGUCUGGAAAUGUUUGUCUGUCCCCAUCCUCCUCUCAAGCAGAGACAUAGGACACAGAUUCUGAUUUUAACAUCCAGCUGUGCACAAGGGACUUUGUAUAAAUCCAAGUCACACACUCUAAAAACAGGGUAUAAACAUGACUCAGUUUCCCUUCUGUACAAGGAAAAAGCAGUACAUCUUUCUUUCCUUCUUGUGUGUAUCACAUUGGAUAUUAGGAACAAAUUCUUCUCCAAAAAAGUGGUAAGGCAUUGGCACAGGCUGCCCAGGGAGGUGGUGGAAUCACCAUUCCUGGAGGUACUCAAGAACUGUGUGGAUGUGGCACUGAGAGACAUGGUUAGUUGACAUGGAGAGGAUGGGCUGAUGGCUGGACUGGAUGAUCUUAGUAGUCAUUUCCAGCCUUAAUGAUUCUAUGACUCUGUGAUAUUACCAAAGGAAACUUCAGGCUCCUUAGCCUGGGAGCUGCUUCCUUCAGGUGUUAUGCACAGCAUUUAAUGGAAAGGGAUCCACCUCAGUUUGAGCUUAUGGCCAAUGUUAUACUUAAUUGGUGCCUGAAGCAUGUGUACUAUAGCUGUCACUGCUUGAGCCCAUGGGUGCAAAGACACUGUGAAUCAAGGCCUUUUCAUGCGCAGGGAUGAAGCGUAGUCUUUCCCAGUACCACUGCUUUGCACACAAGUACUUUGUGUGGGUCCCCUCCAGGCUGUGUGUCUGAACUGCUGGUUCCACAAGCAGGAGUCUUGCAUCCCACCUACGUGCUCCUCCUCUAGAGAAGUGCCCUGAAACUCUUAUUUGCUGCCUCAGACCCCAAGAUUCCAGGAGGUAGUAUUUUUGUGCCUGUGCUGCCACAAGGCAGAAAAAAGGGGUGGCUUUACUCAGGUCAACAGUGCAUCAUACCCUGUCCUGGUAUUAUACAUGAUUUUGGAAGAUGAUAAAGCUAGCAGCUUCAGCAUAUAGGUACCAAAGCAUCAACAAGUGAUGUUAUAUUUAUAUUAUGGGGAUUAGAAGCUCUUCCCUCUUCAGCCAUACCUCAUCUCCAUACCAAAUUAAACCAUCAGCUUGCACCAGCCCUAGCACAAGCUGCAUCACCUGCUUCUCUGCGCUGCAGUGAAGGAGGACAGCCUCAGGUGCUCUCCUCAUACCUUCUUUACCCCUCUCAGGUGUGGUUCUAAUAACAUUUCAGCUGCCAGAGCUAACGAUUAUGAGCAAUUAUGUUAAAAGCAUUCCCUUACACCCCAGUCUGGGGAGGAAAUAUUGUUUCUCUCUGAUGUCUACCCAAAUGGUUUCAUGCAAGUUGAGAAGAAGCCCAAAGCUCAUCUCCCAGUCCGUGUCUGAGACAACACUCCGCUGUUUGUAAAAUAACUUGUCACAGCCAGGCAGUGUCCGCCAUGUUUCCAUGACUGGCAGUGCGCAGGGGAUAUUAAUAGGCCCUCUGGCGAAGAAUAGACUGGGACACAUCAACUGGCUUCUUGCUUUGGCUUAAAUGUUGCAAUUGUUAGUUCUAACUGACAUGAACACAUUUGAUAAGGUCCUAGGUAGUAGCAGAGAGGGUGAGGUCAGGGCAUGGUAAAUGUGAGAAACUUCUCUUUGAGGCCUGGACCCACUGAAGAGGAGAAGGAAGCAGCUGAAGCCUUUAGUUGGCUGGUUUCAAGCUGUGUUUGCAGCUCUGAGCUCAGCUUGGAUAGGGAGUAAUGCAGCAAUCAUAAAAAAUAUGAAAUGGGUGGUCCCACAGCCACACGUGAACUAGAAGGCCAGGACCAAAGCUGAGGAAACUUCCUUCAGAAAAGACCUGUCCUCCUAUAUGUGUUAUAUCCCCAAAUGAUGGAUGUCAAAUAAAGACUGGCCCAUUAAACAUGUAGCUGAAGAACCUGCAUCCAAUUUCGAAGCUUCUCCUCUACCCUGACAACAGACAAUCAGUUUUUGUAUGUCUUCUAUUUUGAGUUCACAACCUCUUUGAGGAAAAUGAUUCUCAUUUUAACAUCCAUGGCUGAAAUGUAUUUAUCAGUUUGUGGACAGCAUUGAGGAUAGAGCUACCUUCAUGGUAGUAAACUCCAUUUUACAGCAUUUGUCUUGUGCUUUUUAGUAUUCACCCCUCUCUUUGCUCACAGGCCCUUGCCUGGUUAUUGAUGUUGGGGUAUCACAGGUGAGAAUGGCAACUGAUCCCAGAAUAGUGGCAAGCCACAGACUAUGCACUUGGAAACUUCAGUCAGAUUUGCUUAUUUUUGGUGUAUGAAUUUCACCAGUGUUCACAACAAACAAUAGGAUUUUUGCCCCAGACAUUGUGGUUAUCUCAGGGGCACUUGGAGGAUGUAUCCUAAGUCCUAGGCAUUUUGGCUUAGAGCAAGAGAUACAGGCAGUAUAGUACAUUGAAAUUAGUACCUGUUAUAGAUUGAUAGAUGUAAUGUAAAUAUCUAUCUAUCUAUAAUAUAGAGAGAUAUAGAUACAUAUACAUUUUUAAAACAUAUAUAUUUUACAUAUGAAUAUAUAUAGAUGGAUGUUUAUUACCACUGUACAGCUCUCUAAGAAGCAGGCACAUGUGCUCAGUGCCUGGCCACAGUGAAUAUACUUUCAACGUUCCUAUUGCAACCACAGUCACAAGUGGGUAUCACAUAGACUCCUUAAAGGUUGAGAUCAUCACAACCUCUCUGCCCAUAUCUGACUGCACAUCCAAAGGCUGGUAAUAUUAACACAGAGAGCAAGAAUUCAACCUCUGUACAAAAGUUCUCAGAGAAUGGGGUGAAGCUUUUAAGCUUUCACCCAACGAUCUUUGAUCCCUUUCGAAAAGGCUGUCUUUUCACCCUUUCUUUACACCUCUCUCAGAAAUCUGCUGAGCCUACACAAGCCUGUGAUGUCCUGUGGCAUUGAGGCAUCAUGCCGCUGUCACCCAGUGACAGGCUGGAAGAGCCGGUAGGCGUUCAGGGCAGUGAGGAAGCACAAUACCUUUGCACAUUGGAGCAAUUUACAAUGACUUUUGUUGCUGAUGGCGCAUGUUAGGUUCUGCUUGUUAAAUCUUGUUAAACAGGAAACAGGUUUUGAGGCGAGAGGGUCCCUUAGAGUUCAACCUCCUGCUUUCAAAUGUUCUUACAAGAUGCACAAUUGGCACCGACUUACAGGAAAUAUUUAAUUGGAGUCGGAAGGCGCUGGCUCCACUGACCUUGUAUUACAUUCCUCUGCAUGCUCCUUUCACAAUGAUUUUCACCUAUAGCUUAAAUCAGUGAUUUAUUUAUACUGGCCAAUGGUGAGUUGAGCGGAGCUGAGGGGAUGAGUGGACCACGGAGACACAGGGAGCGAAGGAGGAGCGAGCAGCAAGGAGCAGUCUUAUAAAGCAGAAGGGGCUGCUGCGGGCUGGAGAGUGACAUAUUUAUGAGUCCAGUAUCGGUUGCCUGCACUGAUAAGCCAUGGUCAUUAGAGGAAGGAAAAGUCACCUUUGUGUAUAUAAAAUAUACAAGAUUCAUAGUCUGAAAAGACUCGACAGGAAAACAUUAGGUAAAUAAAGGAUAUCCCAUAAAGCAUAAUGUGAAAAUUAAAUUACCUCAUAAGGGAGGAAGGCUGCAUGUCCCAGCAGUGAAAGUGAGGAAAAAGUGAAUUCCUCUAUUCCAUCCCAAAGCUGAUUUGGCUUUGGAGUUUUGGGUGGGUAUAGACAUAUUGUUACUCAUGUCUAUUAAAAAAAAAAAAGUAAAAAAAAUCCAUUACAUUCAGUGGGAAACAUUGCAAUUUCCCAUAAAUUUUCACUGUGUACUCACAAGGUAGUACAGAGCAUCUUAUACUUAUCUGCUCAUGGUGGCCAAGUAAGACCUUUUUUGUUGUUGUUUUGUAUUGGGUUUUUUGGUACAGAACGAACAGUGACACAAGUGGUCUGAUAGGAGUUGCCUGUGGAGAGUGGUGCCUGUGGAAGUCAUGCACACCCCUUAAUGUUUGUCGAGGAGGAGCUGAUUCAAUGUGAAUCAAGCCAAUCUCAGUUUUUAUUGCAGACUUUGAUCUUGGAGACACAGUCCCCACAGAGAUUAAGUAGAUCCAAGCAGCAGCUUGCAGCCAUUACUGAAAUUAUUUUUCCAGUAGAAUCUAUCAGUCAGCAUCUAUUCAAAAAUGUGGUUGUCGGGUACUCCUCCUGCAUAGUGGGGAAGUUGCUCCCUCGUCGUAUUGUGGGAUUUUGGAAGGACAGCCUCAAGCAAUGGGCAAUGGCAGCAGCCGAUCCCAAGGCUUCUGUUCCUAGGGAAAUGUGCCACGCUUACUGAUCCAUCUGAGAAAUGUUUUGUUUCCCUAGUGCUUCACAGAAGUAAAUCAAGCUUCCCAAGCAGGGACCCAGGGAAGAGAGAGGCACUUAUUCAACAUAGCCUACUUCUUGCCUUGGAGUCUGUAUAAACACCUCUUCCCACCCUCAUCCUCUUUACAAGUCCAAGUCAUACUGCUGCCAGAUCUCGGUCUGCCUGUGAAGCCCUAUGCUUCUCAGGAGCUGUCAGUUUCCUGCUGAGCACAUACCUCUCCAAAGCGUCUUUGUCCUUUCAGACCUCAGCAUCAAGCAAAAGUACUGAGGGUAAAACUUAGCUAUCUGCACAGACCAGUAGUCUAAUGACAUUGCUUUUUCAUGUUAAUACUGCCUGCAAUAGAUCACCAUCAACAGCUCCUCUCUCAUUUUUGAAACCCUAAAUUUAUAGACUCACAACGUUAAACAAAGAAGUUUCUUUUCCAAGUCAAAACAAACUCAGUAUCUGGCUCUCUGCUCCUGGCAAUCAACAUUGCUCCAGUGACCUCCAAUGACCUGGCUUCCACCACACAGUGUCCUCACUCACACUAGCUUCUCCUUUCAAGAGCAUGGGAGGAGGUCUCUUAUUUUAAUUAUAUUUCUUGAAAUUGAAGGGUGCCUCUGAGCAAGGCAACUAAUAUCACAGCCAGGUUUACGCCUAGGAAACUAUGACUAACAAAAUAAUAAAAGACUAAUUUGUCACCUCUGGAUAUGCAGUUUAGUCCAACCCUGUCACCUUUAUACACAACCCCCAGGAACAUUUCUUUAUCCACAGGGAGUUUGCAUUCAAAUCUCUACGUGUACCCCUCCAUUAGAUAAAUAAUGUUAGAUCCAGAAGUGAGAAAUGGGAGACCAGCCUUCUAGCCAAAGCAGAUUCAUUUCAUUUGAUUUGGAUAUUUUUUAAAUUCCCACUUUUGCCCUCUGCUGUUGUCUCAGAUCCCUCUCUAAUAAAUAACUAGUCCACAUCACUAAAUUGCUGCACAUAACUCAGAGCAAUUUGUUACUGUUGGCAAUGUCUGUGCAGCGGGGGCCCAGGAACAGGCCAGCAUGGAAGCAGCACUACCUCCCACUCUUCAGGAGCAUGAUUUCUGCCUGAUUACAGAAGGGGUCAUUGGUAGGACAAUGCAGAAAAAGCCAUAUACAACUGCCUGUAUGCAAGUUGUAUGAGCUGCAUGGUUCUCAUGUGAGCUACUUCAGAUUCACCCAGGAGUAUCAGUCAGGAGAAGUCAUCCCUGUGAUGUCAACACCACAUAUGUGGCAGGAUAUUAAAAAAAUUAACACAUAUUCAUCGUCACCACAAUAAGAGUGCUUUACACAGCUCUGGGCCCAAAGGAUAGUUUAAAAUAUAGAAAUUCCUUUAGAAACAAUGAUGUAAUAAAUCUGCUAGGCCUAAGGUCAUUCAAAAAAUACGAAAAUGAACGUAGCCUUCAAAUAUUUGGUAAGGAUGUAUCAUUAUGUGGUCAGGUACUGGAAUGGGCUGCCCAAGGAGGUGGUUGAGUCACCGACCCUGGAGGUGAUCAAGAAACGUUAGAUGUGAUACAAAGGGACAUCGUUUAGUGGGGAAAUAUUGUUGGUAGGUGGAUGGUUGGACUACAUGAACUUGGAGGUCUUUUCCAACCUUAGCAAUUCAAUGGUUCUAUGAUUAAGAGACAAGUAUGGUUUAAAAAAGAAAUGGGAAAGGAUUUUGCAUGCUUUUUCCUUUAUACUUCCUUCUUGCAGUCCUUCAUAAACACCAAGCAAUGAAAAAAGGGCAGCAGCCCACACCUUCCUAUGGUGUGGUUAUUCUGUGGGUGCUCACAAGAAUAACUAGCUGUGAGUCUGGCUGCAGAAUAAGAGGGAUCUUCAGGGCUCUACCUGGAAGGGGAGAGCUCACCAGUCCUCUGUUUGCAACCAGGCACCAGGGUUAGAUAAGAGUGUGUAGUUUUGCGCUUGUGGUACACUCUUUUCUUCUCAGAAAGCUCGUGAGGGUAGAGAAUGGAGGAAUGGCAGCUCCUGCUGUCUGGGGCAAAAAAUCAUCCAGAUACAUGCCAGUGGCUCCAACUCAGGGGGUCUUUCUCAGCUUCCCUUCAUCUACACACUUAUGACAAUAUAGGCUCUACUACACCUUUCUCCUUACAGCCACCUUCCUUGAGAGCCCUGGCCCAAUUUGGCAUCUUUUGGGUGGAAAGACAUGGAGCGAGGAAGCAAAGGGAAUGUGAUUUUGAUAUACACUCCAACCUCUCUUUGACAAUUAACUGGUCUCUGUGGAUGUUGGUAUCCCAACCUGGAAACCUUGGGGCUCAAUGGAAGAGCAUCAAGUGGAAAAAUAAGUCAGCAGAGCAACCGGAGGGUAACUGUGGUUUACCCAGUAUGUAACAUCUGAGCCCAGCAGCACCAUGUGCCAGUGCUUCCCAGUUUCAAAGUCAAAGUUGUUUCUGUGGGAAAUUGGGGGGAAGUUUGUUAUUUGCUGUUGUUUAUGUGGUUUUUGUUUUGCUUUUUAACAAAGCAACUUUAGAAAGAGUACACUUUCCAAUAAGGCAUUGUUUAAGGUAAUAAUAGAAGAGGAAAAGUGGGAAUGUGGGGGAAGGCAAGGGAGAAGCAAAGUGAAAAUAAAACCUCCUCAGUUGCUCCAGAAGAAAAACACUGGGCCUGUAGUGUGUGAUGGAUAAAAUACUGUGUGUGAUGGGUUACAAAAGAGAUGGCUUCCUGGAAUUUUUCAGGUACACUUCAUGGAAGACUAUUUAUUCUGGGGAAAAGCAAGCAAACAAAGAAACAACCCUUUGUUUUUUCUUAGAACGUUAUUUUUUCAUUUAAGCCCAGGAGAGAGCCAAGUAAAGCAGAAUGCCAAACUCCCAGUGCUGUGAUGCGCAAAGCAGAAAGGUCUGCUGCAGAUUUGGAUGUGAUCAAAGUCACACUAUUGAGCGAAAUAAAGGCUACAAUGACCAUUUUCCCAAGAGAGUUCUGGGAGCCUCGUACAAAAGAUCCAGAUUGCCCAGGACUCUCCUGCUCUUUGGCAGAAAUGGGUUGUCCAUUUUUGAGGAGACCAGGACAAAUGGAAGAUGAGAACGAUGGGGGAAAUUAGGUGAUUUCACCUGCUUUGCUCCACAUGCUGCAAAAAGCAGCAGAAAGCAGAUGAGGGAACAAGGAAAAAGGCUGGGGUGCAGAGAAGCCCAGUGAUGAUGGGUACGACCUUCAUUGGUCAUCUGCUGGGCAGAAAAUGGAAAGAGAAUCUGCUAUCUUCAGCAUCAAGCAGGAAGACAAAGUUAAUAGCAGAAGGCACGGGUGGAAGAUUAUCUCUUUACCUACCCUUUCUAAGAUUUUCCUUGGUCAGUGACUGAUUAUAGUUAAGUGGAUGCCUCAAGUAAUAUGUAAGGCUCAGGUAACAUUUCUCGUCAGCAAUUGUUUGGAGACAACAACAAGUUUCUCAUGAAACGUUGACGUGAAAUGAAAAUUAUCAUUUUUACAUUCAUCAUUCAUGUUAGUGGCCUCUUAUGGUGCAAAAGAUCAAACUUAGGGAGCCUAGAGCGAGAACAAACUUCACAAGAUGUUGGUCUUCAUUUUGGACGUUUCAUAAAAGGCUGGAUACCUAAUAAGACCAUACGAAAAAAGGAUUGUGUGGGGUAUCUCUCUGCAUGGUCCCACAAAAUAAAGGAGCUACUCAUACAUGGAGAGUCAGACACAACUACUUGCCUCACCGGAUCAAGACCAAAUCUCUUGUGUCUCCAAAACCCACCACCAAUUCUCAUGGGAUUUUCAGUAUUUCCCGUUUCAAGGCAGGCUAUAAGUUUUGUCUGAUCAUUUGACAGUGCUACACCUUGCAAGCCAGUCCUGGACAGACCCAGAAAUGACAGCCAUUCCUUAAAAUGGAAAAUUGUUCAUAUAAACUAUCAUCUGUGCAUGUUCAAACUUCAAGUUUCCAUAUGAGGUUGGUUCAGGUUGGGCUUCUAGAUUAACUCUGCUUACUCACUUAUUUUUAAGUUAUAUUCCUUUGCCUCCUGCUUACAUGCUUUCUGACAUGCUUAUCCUUCACUGCCCUUUCCCAGCAUUUCCAGACCUGCUAAAUCUACACCUUUUACUGUAUGCAUUUGUGCAAAAAAAAAAAAAAAA
ensembl:lncRNA